rnacentral:rRNA from 1 species
UACGUAGGUGGCAAGCGUUGUCCGGAUUUACUGGGUGUAAAGGGUGCGUAGACGGGUCAGGAAGUCAGAUGUGAAAUACCGAGGCUCAACCUUGGGGGUGCAUUUGAAACUCUUUAUCUUGAGUGCAGGAGAGGAAAGCGGAAUUCCUAGUGUAGCGGUGAAAUGCGUAGAUAUUAGGAGGAACACCAGUGGCGAAGGCGGCUUUCUGGACUGUAACUGACGUUGAUGCACGAAAGCGUGGGGAGAAAACAGGAUUAGAUACCCUGGUAGUCCACGCCGUAAACGAUGGAUACUAGGUGUGGGAGGUAUCGACCCCUUCCGUGCCGGAGUUAACACAAUAAGUAUCCCACCUGGGGAGUACGACCGCAAGGUUAAA